GAUGAACGCUGGCGGCGUGCCUAAUACAUGCAAGUCGAGCGAACAGACGAGGAGCUUGCUCCUCUGACGUUAGCCGCGGACGGGUGAGUAACACGUGGAUCAUCUCCCUAUCAGACUGGGAAAACUACGGGAAACCGGCGCUUAUCCGGGAUAAUCUAUUGCUCCGCGUGGUUCGAUAGUGAAAGACGGCUUUGCUGUCUCUUAUCGAUGGUUCCGCGCCGCAUUGGCUAGUUGGUAAGGUAAAGGCCUACCAAGGCAACGAUGCGUAGCCGAGCGGAUAGGGUGAUCGGCCACACUGGAACGGAGACACGGUCCAGACUCCUACGGGAGGCAGCAGUAGGGAAUCUUCCGCAAUGGGCGAGAGCCUGACGGAGCAGCGCCGCGUGAGUGAUGAAGGUCUUCGGAUCGUAAAACUCUGUUAUUAGGUAAGAACAAAUGUGUAAGUAACUAUGCACGUCUUGACGGUACCUAGUCAGAAAGCCACGGCUAACUACGUG
rnacentral:rRNA from 1 species